rnacentral:misc_RNA from 1 species
GAUGAAGAACGUAGCGAAAAGCGAUACUUGGUGUGAAUUGCAGAAUCCCGUGAACCAUCGAGUUUUUGAACGCAAGUUGCGCCCGAAGCCGUUAGGCUGAGGGCACGCCUGCCUGGGUGUCACAGAUCGUUGCCCCAAUGCCAAUCGCCUCACUUUGUAGGUAUUUGCUUGGGGUGAAUGUUGGCCUCCCGUGAGCUUUGUCUCACGGUUGGUUGAAAAUCGAGUGCAUGGUGUCGGGUGUACCAUGAUGGAUGGUGGUUGAGUGAUGAUGCUCGAGACCAAUCAUGGGUAACUCCACCAGAAUUGGGCUCGGUGACCCACAUGCGUCCCUUGGAUGCUCCCUAAGGAGACCUCAGGUCAGGCGGGGCUACCCGCUGAGUUUAAGCAUAUCAAUAAGCGGAGGA